CUCUAGCUACAUGUAACCCAAUACCCAGAACAAAUCUUCAUCCUGGUCAUUUAUACAGAAGUGUUUGAAUGUUUGGAUCUGCUUACAAGUUUUAAGAUAUGUUAUCAUGAGUGCAUGAGCUAGUAAAAAAGUUAAAUGUGAUUAAUAUUGUUAUUUAGUUGAAAUGAUUCCAACUAAUACAGGUUUACAACAAUUUUCUGAAACUAUAUUAACAUGUAUAAUGGGACAGCAAAUGUGUACUUAAAGUUCCUGUUAAAAAUGGAGGCAAAUUGAUAAGCAAUUCUAUGGAAUAAAUUUUCGACCAAAUUCUCCAAAAGUCAGUGAGAAGUUUGAAAAUGAAAGAAGAAAAGGAUACAAAAGAAUACAGAAUUUACUUGGAUGCAGAAGAGGUAUUCCCAUCAUAUAAAAUCUGCAAACCAGCAUUGUGCCAGUGAAUCUGUUUGGAAAAGACUGAAAGUGAAGGACAUGUAUAAAUUGAAAUUUAAUUGAUGUUAAGCUCAAAAGAAUCUUUUGUUUUACAGUGUUAUACCUUUAUGCAUGGAACCGUAUUUGUUAAUGAGGGUGAAAUGACUGAAUAAAUUUCUUUGAUGUAACAUUUAAUGAAUUAUUAUUGUUUAUCAAUUGAAAGUUGAUACUGUAAUGCUCACCUGAACAAAAAGUGCUCAGGUGAGAUUUUGUGAUUUCCUGAUGUCUGUAAAACCUUAAUUGUAAUUAAUCCAUUAAGUUUAAAGAUUCAAGAGAAAUCUAAAAAUGUUAGCUGAUUUUGGAGCUUUUAAGUUUUGUAGUGGGGCUUCAAUAGUACUUUUUCACUGGGACUUAAUUUGUACUUCAUCAAUAUGCUUCAUGUGUGCUUCAAAGAGAAGCUUCAAGUAUGCUUCCUAACUGAGACUUCAUCUGUACUUCUUUAUGGGCUUCAAGUGUGCUGCAUUACACUGAAUGCCCUUAAUAUGUAAGCUUCAAAUGUACUUCUCAAGGGGUACUUCAAAGAUACUUUAAAGGAGUACGGUUGAAGCCUAAUUAGCAUAAUUCGAACGCGCUUCAAAGGAGCUUCAUCUAUGUGUUGGCCAUUACCAUUUCCAUCAAAUAGAUGAAAGCACAUAUGAAGCAGGGACUGCAACCAAGCUUCUUAUAUACUUUACCAGAGGGCUUCAAAUAUACUUAUAAUAUACUUGAAUUGUGCUCUAU